UCCAAUAUUUUCUCACCAGUCGAACAGAGGUUCCAGGCAACGGUUCCAACCAAGUAGAGCCCAACUGAAACCUUGAAACAUCAUCCCACGAACCUGAAAAAGGUGAGGGUAGAAAAAUGUAAGAAUCAACUACUCGAGUAAAACUUGACGUCUCCAAAUUCAAUUAAAAAAAGGGUUGGUGAAAAUGGAACCCCACCAAAAUUCCAAUUAAGCUUGAAGAUGAAGACAAUCAUUCACCAGUGCAACACAAGUCAAAGCAGGCUGUGAUGACCUUUUCUUACCAGUUCUGUUGAAAUAACGACCAUGCGAGUCCACGGAUGUUUCUUAUUUCAAGAUUUUUUUUUUUUUUUUUUUAGAUUCAACAAGGUGUUCUUUUGUAUUUGAUUCAUUGAAUUUGUUAUUUAAUUUGUAUCUUGGCAUUCUUACAGGAUCACUGCAAGAUCUCCAUACCAAACAAUUGGCUUGUCGGGCUCUCCUUCUAAGCCAGCUGAAAGCAAGUGGCUGCUUAAUCUUCGCAGUAACACGAUUGCUAAUCAUAUUUGAUUUUUAGGUUUUUACAAUUCAGGCGCGGCCCACCCCCCCUUCUUUUUUUGUUUUAUCUUUGCUUGUUUUUGUGGCGGAUGUUGAAUCCUGCUGUUUCCUUUUGGUUGUUUUUAAGCCAAGGCUUUUUCUCCGGCCACUAUAGACCUAACAGUUUAUCAAUCUUACUAUUAGUUCAUUCUAUGUAAAAA
rnacentral:misc_RNA from 1 species